UGGGGAAUAUUGCGCAAUGGGCGAAAGCCUGACGCAGCGACGCCGCGUGAGGGAUGAAGGUUUUCGGAUCGUAAACCUCUGUCAGAAGGGAAGAAACCGCACUGUGCUAAUCAGCAGUGCCUUGACGGUACCUUCAAAGGAAGCACCGGCUAACUCCGUGCCAGCAGCCGCGGUAAUACGGAGGGUGCAAGCGUUAAUCGGAAUUACUGGGCGUAAAGCGCACGUAGGCUGCUUUGUAAGUCAGGGGUGAAAUCCCACGGCUCAACCGUGGAACUGCCUUUGAUACUGCUUAGGUUGAAUCCGGGGGGGGGUGGCGGAAUUCCAGGUGUAGGAGUGAAAUCCGUAGGUAUCUGGAGGAACAUCAGUGGGGAAGGCGGCCACCUGGACCGGUAUUGACGCUGGGGUGCGGAAGCGUGGGGAGCAAACAGG
rnacentral:rRNA from 1 species